CCCAGCAGGAGGAGUAGGGACUCUCUGUUCUUUAUAUCCUCUUCUCCUCCCGGGACCCUGUGACAACACAGGACAGGACAGUGAGUGCUCAAUGGACAGUCAGUACAGGAAGGAAAGGCUAUUGGGCCUGCACCAGGGCUGGGCACACGUAGGAGGAACGUCAGUCCCAGCCCCUCUGGCCCCACGUGGGGCUGAGGUCUGAGCUCCAGCAGGGCUUGAUCCAGAUCAAAGCUGCUGGGGAGGCCAGUCGCGACCUGGAAACCCAGCCGUCUCCACCUCUGCUGCCGCCACCCCGGCAAGGCUGCCGCACCUCUCGCCUGGAUUUUUGCAAUCUCCUGCUCCCUCGGCCACCUGCUUCCGUCCUCCUCCCAUAGCCCAUUCUCCUGGAGAUCCUGUCAGCUCACAUCCAUCCUCGGCUCCUGCCUCCUUUGGGCAAAAGCCGAAGUACUGGCUCCUUGCUGGCCCGGGAACAUGCCUCCUCAGGGUCUCUGCUCAAACGCUGCCUUAAUGAGGCCCAGCCUGACAACCCGAUUUAAAUCUGCAAACCCUGACAUCCCCCAUCUCCUGUCCCUGCUUUAUUUUUACCUAGUGUGGUUGUUACCGAGUGGCAUACUUUUCGAGGCAAGGUCUUGCUCUGUCACCCAGGCUGGAGUGCAGCG
rnacentral:lncRNA from 10 species